rnacentral:lncRNA from 1 species
CAGUCCCCAGGAGCCCGUGUGCCCAUCUCCUUUCCAAGUUGGCAUGCCCACUGUUGCACGACUCACUGACAUUAAAUGAAUCAUGAUGCUGCUAAAUUUANAGAUACCUAAUCAGAAUGGUAUCUNGAAGAACAUCCAGGAAGAAUGGAACAGAAGCUCAUAUGUAAGUUGAACCAACUGGAUGCUCCGAAGGCUCAUAAACAGAUNCCUACUAAAUUUAGAACCACAAGAACCUUUGGUGUUUAUGAUCAACUCAGAACACUUGCUAAAUUACAGGUUGGAAAAUUAAAGAAGCGAUCAAGAAAGAAAAUCACCACCAUGUGUAGGAGCCCUGGAAGAAACAGACUGGAAAGCAAACACAAGCAUAUGGUGAAUGACACAAAGAAGCAUUUUCUUUGGCUUACAGAUCAUCAUUAUUANGUUGAUGAUGUCCAAAUACACUCACGGAAUUCUUGGGAUCUCAAGUGAAUGUCUGGAAACAGCUCUGAAUGUUCUUGUGUCAUUGAGAUUCAAAUGGCUUCUGGGCUAAUGGGAUCUUCAGCUGAGGAUCUUCUUACCUCAAGGACUGGAGAAUGGAAAUUGGUAACGAGGCUUUCAGUGAUAGCCCAUCCCUCCCUACUGUUGAUGAUGACGAGCCACAAAACAUCUUGUCUGGAAGAGCAGGGAAGAAUGGAAAUUGGUAACCGGGCUUCCAGUGAUGUCCCCUCCCUCCCGACUGCUGACCCACAGCAAGCCAUGAACCUUCUUGUCUAGAAGAGCAGAGGAGAACGGAAAUGGGUGACCUGCUACUAUCUUCAUUCUCCCAGUGAUGACCCCUUCCUCCCAUUUCUCAUCUCUGUCAUAUUUCCACAAUGAAUCUAAAGCGAUUGACUUUACACAAAUUGAAGCCCAUUGUGCCCAUUGUUGUUUUUUUCUUGGCAAAGCACCAAUGUCUUUGGACAGGUUAGUGUUUUACCAGAUCCAAAGUGUUGCACUGGGACUGUAGUCUCACAGCCCUCUGCUACUAUUUUUCUGUGGAAACUCAUGAAUUGCAGGCACAGGAAGGACUUAUUAGUGUUUUGCAACAUGCUCCCUUUCCUCUCUUACAGUGAGUCUGUAAAUAAAUCAGAUGUGAAUUGCUGAGCA